GUUCGCUUUGGCAGCACAAAAACCAAAAAUGGAACGAUACAGAGAAGAUUAGCAUGGUCCCUGUGCAAGGAUGAUAUGCAAAUUUGUGAAGCAUUCCAUAUUUAA